rnacentral:rRNA from 1 species
UACAGAGGUCCCAAGCGUUGUUCGGAUUCACUGGGCGUAAAGGGUGCGUAGGCGGUCGGGUAAGUCUGAUGUGAAAUCUCACAGCUUAACUGUGAAACUGCAUUGGAUACUAUCCGGCUUGCGGAAUGGAGGGGAGACUGGAAUACUUGGUGUAGCAGUGAAAUGCGUAGAUAUCAAGUGGAACACCAGUGGCGAAGGCGAGUCUCUGGACAUUUCCUGACGCUGAGGCACGAAAGCCAGGGGAGCAAACGGG